GUAGGUGGCAAGCGUUGUCCGGAAUCAUUGGGCGUAAAGCGCGCGCAGGCGGUCCUUUAAGUCUGAUGUGAAAGCCCACGGCUCAACCGUGGAGGGUCAUUGGAAACUGGGGGACUUGAGUACAGAAGAGGAAAGCGGAAUUCCAAGUGUAGCGGUGAAAUGCGUAGAGAUUUGGAGGAACACCAGUGGCGAAGGCGGCUUUCUGGUCUGUAACUGACGCUGAGGCGCGAAAGCGUGGGGAGCAAACAGGGAUUAGAUACCCUGGUAGUCCACGCCGUAAACGAUGAGUGCUAAGUGUUAGGGGGUUUCCCGCCCCUUAGUGCUGCAGCUAACGCAUUAAGCACUCCGCCUGGGGAGUACGGCCGCAGGGCUG
rnacentral:rRNA from 1 species